rnacentral:rRNA from 1 species
UACGUAGGGUGCAAGCGUUAAUCGGAAUUACUGGGCGUAAAGCGUGCGCAGGCGGUUUUGCAAGACCGAUGUGAAAUCCCCGGGCUUAACCUGGGAAUGGCAUUGGUGACUGCACGGCUAGAGUGUGUCAGAGGGGGGUAGAAUUCCGCGUGUAGCAGUGAAAUGCGUAGAGAUGCGGAGGAACACCGAUGGCGAAGGCAGCCCCCUGGGCCAAUACUGACGCUCAGGCACGAAAGCGUGGGGAGCAAACAGG